rnacentral:tRNA from 1 species
GCUGGGGUCGCAUAGUUUGGCAAUUGCGCCAGACUUAAGAUCUGGUACCCUUCGCGGGUACGUGGGUUCAAAUCCCACCCCCAGCG